GGUUAAGCGACUAAGCGUACACGGUGGAUGCCCUGGCAGUCAGAGGCGAUGAAGGACGUGCUAAUCUGCGAUAAGCGUCGGUAAGGUGAUAUGAACCGUUAUAACCGGCGAUUUCCGAAUGGGGAAACCCAGUGUGAUUCGUCACACUAUCAUUAACUGAAUCCAUAGGUUAAUGAGGGCGAACCGGGGGAACUGAAACAUCUAAGUACCCCGAGGAAAAGAAAUCAACCGAGAUUCCCCCCAGUAGCGGCGAGCGAACGGGGAGGAGCCCAGAGCCUGAAUCAGUGUGUGUGUUAGUGGAAGCGUCUGGAAAGGCGCGCGAUACAGGGUGACAGCCCCGUACACAAAAAUGCACAUGCUGUGAGCUCGAUGAGUAGGGCGGGACACGUGGUAUCCUGUCUGAAUAUGGGGGACCAUCCUCCAAGGCUAAAUACUCCUGACUGACCGAUAGUGAACCAGUACCGUGAGGGAAAGGCGAAAAGAACCCCGGCGAGGGGGAGUGAAAAAGAACCUGAAACCGUGUACGUACAAGCAGUGGGAGCACAGAGCAAUCUGUGUGACUGCGUACCUUUUGUAUAAUGGGUCAGCGACUUAUAUUCUGUAGCAAGGUUAACCGAAUAGGGGAGCCGAAGGGAAACCGAGUCUUAACCGGGCGUUAAGUUGCAGGGUAUAGACCCGAAACCCGGUGAUCUAGCCAUGGGCAGGUUGAAGGUUGGGUAACACUAACUGGAGGACCGAACCGACUAAUGUUGAAAAAUUAGCGGAUGACUUGUGGCUGGGGGUGAAAGGCCAAUCAAACCGGGAGAUAGCUGGUUCUCCCCGAAAGCUAUUUAGGUAGCGCCUCGUGAAUUCAUCUCCGGGGGGUAGAGCACUGUUUCGGCAAGGGGGUCAUCCCGACUUACCAACCCGAUGCAAACUGCGAAUACCGGAGAAUGUUAUCACGGGAGACACACGGCGGGUGCUAACGUCCGUCGUGAAGAGGGAAACAACCCAGACCGCCAGCUAAGGUCCCAAAGUCAUGGUUAAGUGGGAAACGAUGUGGGAAGGCCCAGACAGCCAGGAUGUUGGCUUAGAAGCAGCCAUCAUUUAAAGAAAGCGUAAUAGCUCACUGGUCGAGUCGGCCUGCGCGGAAGAUGUAACGGGGCUAAACCAUGCACCGAAGCUGCGGCAGCGACACUGUGUGUUGUUGGGUAGGGGAGCGUUCUGUAAGCCUGUGAAGGUGUGCUGUGAGGCAUGCUGGAGGUAUCAGAAGUGCGAAUGCUGACAUAAGUAACGAUAAAGCGGGUGAAAAGCCCGCUCGCCGGAAGACCAAGGGUUCCUGUCCAACGUUAAUCGGGGCAGGGUGAGUCGACCCCUAAGGCGAGGCCGAAAGGCGUAGUCGAUGGGAAACAGGUUAAUAUUCCUGUACUUGGUGUUACUGCGAAGGGGGGGACGGAGAAGGCUAUGUUGGCCGGGCGACGGUUGUCCCGGUUUAAGCGUGUAGGCUGGUUUUCCAGGCAAAUCCGGAAAAUCAAGGCUGAGGCGUGAUGACGAGGCACUACGGUGCUGAAGCAACAAAUGCCCUGCUUCCAGGAAAAGCCUCUAAGCAUCAGGUAACAUCAAAUCGUACCCCAAACCGACACAGGUGGUCAGGUAGAGAAUACCAAGGCGCUUGAGAGAACUCGGGUGAAGGAACUAGGCAAAAUGGUGCCGUAACUUCGGGAGAAGGCACGCUGAUAUGUAGGUGAAGUCCCUCGCGGAUGGAGCUGAAAUCAGUCGAAGAUACCAGCUGGCUGCAACUGUUUAUUAAAAACACAGCACUGUGCAAACACGAAAGUGGACGUAUACGGUGUGACGCCUGCCCGGUGCCGGAAGGUUAAUUGAUGGGGUCAGCGCAAGCGAAGCUCUUGAUCGAAGCCCCGGUAAACGGCGGCCGUAACUAUAACGGUCCUAAGGUAGCGAAAUUCCUUGUCGGGUAAGUUCCGACCUGCACGAAUGGCGUAAUGAUGGCCAGGCUGUCUCCACCCGAGACUCAGUGAAAUUGAACUCGCUGUGAAGAUGCAGUGUACCCGCGGCAAGACGGAAAGACCCCGUGAACCUUUACUAUAGCUUGACACUGAACAUUGAGCCUUGAUGUGUAGGAUAGGUGGGAGGCUUUGAAGUGUGGACGCCAGUCUGCAUGGAGCCGACCUUGAAAUACCACCCUUUAAUGUUUGAUGUUCUAACGUGGACCCGUGAUCCGGGUUGCGGACAGUGUCUGGUGGGUAGUUUGACUGGGGCGGUCUCCUCCUAAAGAGUAACGGAGGAGCACGAAGGUUGGCUAAUCCUGGUCGGACAUCAGGAGGUUAGUGCAAUGGCAUAAGCCAGCUUGACUGCGAGCGUGACGGCGCGAGCAGGUGCGAAAGCAGGUCAUAGUGAUCCGGUGGUUCUGAAUGGAAGGGCCAUCGCUCAACGGAUAAAAGGUACUCCGGGGAUAACAGGCUGAUACCGCCCAAGAGUUCAUAUCGACGGCGGUGUUUGGCACCUCGAUGUCGGCUCAUCACAUCCUGGGGCUGAAGUAGGUCCCAAGGGUAUGGCUGUUCGCCAUUUAAAGUGGUACGCGAGCUGGGUUUAGAACGUCGUGAGACAGUUCGGUCCCUAUCUGCCGUGGGCGCUGGAGAACUGAGGGGGCUGCUCCUAGUACGAGAGGACCGGAGUGGACGCAUCACUGGUGUUCGGGUUGUCAUGCCAAUGGCACUGCCCGGUAGCUAAAUGCGGAAGAGAUAAGUGCUGAAAGCAUCUAAGCACGAAACUUGCCCCGAGAUGAGUUCUCCCUGACCCUUUAAGGGUCCUGAAGGAACGUUGAAGACGACGACGUUGAUAGGCCGGGUGUGUAAGCGCAGCGAUGCGUUGAGCUAACCGGUACUAAUGAACCGUGAGGCUUAACCUU
rnacentral:rRNA from 1 species